rnacentral:lncRNA from 1 species
UUUCGACUCGUGAUCUCGUUCGGCGAAACCCGAUCUACGUGGUUCAAAUACCUUCCAAAUUGGGGGCGAUUUAACAAUCGCGACCAAUUAAACCCAGGGAAGAAAAGAAAAGGGAAAAAAAAAAAAAAAAAAAAAGAAAAGGAGAAGCAAGCAGCAAAUCCCCUCCUUCCCUCUCUCUCCCCCGCCCGGGGCUCGCACACACUAUCUGUUGCUCUCUCCCGGCGGCAGCGGGCGGGGGCGUGCGGCGGGGCCGGGACGCUCUCACUCACACUCGCACUCGCACUCACCCGCACGCCCCUCGCACCAUUGUCCCUGCCCGCCCGCCCCGCUCGCUCUCCCUCGCUCUCGCUCGCUCGCUCGGGGUGUUUUGUUGGCGGCCCGGCGCGGGGCCCGGCGCGCCCGCCCGCGCCGCGGCGGAGCGGAGCGGCACAUUCAUUAGCGGCCGGGGGCCGAUUUCAAACCGCUGCCAUCGCGGCUCCAUUGUUCGCCGGGCGGGCGGGCCCCGCCCCCCUUUGUGCGCGGCGGCCGCGAUUGGCCGGCGCCGGGCGGAGCGCUGCCGUCACCGCUCGGGAAGCCCAUUCAUCUGUGCACUUGGGCGUUGGACUCCGCAUCUUAUUAGCAACCAGGGAGAUUUCUCCAUUUUCUCCUUGUCUACAUAUUUAUACCAACCCAACGCUCUUUGUUUCCCCUCCUUUUGGAUCUGUUGAGUUUCUUUGUUGAAUAAGACAGCAUGGGUGCCCAGUUCUCCAAGACCGCUGCAAAGGGCGAAGCCUCCGCCGAGAAACCUGGGGAAGCAGUGGCUGCAUCUCCAUCCAAGGCGAAUGGACAGGUAAAAAAUGAAAAGAAAUUUUAAAAAAUAUUAAAUCUGCUCCUUUUUUAAUGCCAACUUCGACGGACUCUCUUUCGCAUCCUGUUUAAUUCUUCUUCCUUUGAUGCCCCAGUGGCACAUUCAAUGGAGGAUACGGUCGAUCCUUUUAUCUUUGCAACUCGAGGCAAAGGGAUAAUUUCUUUAUUUUGGUUAAACGGGCUCGGCUUUGAAUGAUUCGUUCCUUUAUCCUUCCUGUGUGGGGGGCGGGGGGGGAAUGGGCACGGUUCUUUCUUUUUUUUAAAUCCCUCGUGUAUUAUGGUGGAGUGUCCCAAUGGCUCGUAAACGAAAGGAUCUUACACCGCUUGGCUUUUCUGCCCGCUUAACCUCCUCCCGAAGACACUCGGUGCUUCGCGCGGAACGCCUCUCUGGCACAGCCGGACGGCCGCGUAGUGGCGGGGCCGGAGCCGCCGGGCAGGGGGCUCCGCGGGCAGAGCCCCUCGGGCGGGAGCGCGG